GUUUGCCGGCUUCAGCGGUGAUGGAUCACCGUUUCAGUGGCAUUUAAAUCCCCGGCGCUCCUCCGUCUAGGUGACGCGCAGUCGCCCCCCCAGGCAGCUGCGGCGGCGGCAGCUGCUGCGGCUGCAACGGCAGAUUCGGAGUGCUGGGGCAAAGGAGAGCAGAAGCUGCCCUGCGCGCGCGCCCGACUCCGCUCGCCCCCCCCCUCCGGGAGGUGGGGGCUGAGAGGCAUCUCCCGCUCCUGAUCCUCUCCCCACCAUGCACAGAAAGAUGAACUGGCAAGAGGUCUGUUUUGCCUGAACCCAUCAACAGCUGGGAGAUUAAUCAUCCACACUGAGAAUGUGCAGGGAUUUGUGGGGAAGGGAGUUGAAAUGUAGAUGUUUGAAACAAACGUGUAUAAAAGUGUAUAAAUAAAUGAGUUGUUGAUAACUUAGUUAUUGACCUGGACACUGGUAGCUUGUUAAAGAAACUCCAUGUUACUCAUUCCUGAAGUUGGGGGUUUCUGUAGGCACUUUAUUUCUCUACUUUCAAGAGCUUGGGCUUGGCCCAAAUCUUAGGCUGCCCAAUCUUGUUUCUAUUACCAAUUUUAAUCUAUGGCUUGAACCUGUACACUGAAAACCAAAUCCAUUCCUUUAAAAAAUAAAUAAAUAAAAUAAAAACAAAACAAAACAAAAACAUUUGUCAGAAGCCCUAGCCAUUUUCUGGCUUUUUUUUUUUUUUUUUUUUUGCUGUCUAUUGAAGACUUUCAACAUGCCGCCUUAAUAAAUAUACUAAAAUUGAAAAA